UGGUGCGACGAACCAGGCUUCGGCCUGGGGCAAAGCCGCGAACGGGUGAGUAACACGUGGGUAAUCUGCCCCAAUGACCGGGACAACCCGAGGAAACUCGGGCUAAUACCGGAUGUGGUGCACAGGCAUAAGCCUGUGUACUAAAGGUAGCUUCGGCUUCCGCAUUGGGAGGGGCCCGCGGCCCAUUAGCUUGUUGGUGGGGUCAAGGCCUACCAAGGCAACGAUGGGUAGCUGGUCUGAGAGGACGAUCAGCCACACUGGGACUGAGACACGGCCCAGACUCC
rnacentral:rRNA from 2 species